UCUGCUCAGUAACACGUGGAUAACCUGCCCAAGGGUCCGGGAUAACCCCGGGAAACUGGGGAUAAUACCGGAUGGAUCACUUAUGCUGGAAUGCUUGGUGGUCGAAAGGUGACGCCCUUGGAUGGGUCUGCGGCGGAUUAGGUUGACGCCGGUGUAACGUACCGGCGUGCCUGUAAUCCGUACGGGUUGUGGGAGCAAGAGCCCGGAGAUGGAUUCUGAGACACGAAUCCAGGCCCUACGGGGCGCAGCAGGCGCGAAAACUCUACAAUGCAGGCAACUGCGAUAGGGGGACAUCGAGUGGCAUCCACUUUGGGUGCCUGUCCCACCGUCUAAAAAACGGUGGUUAGCAAGGGCCGGGCAAGACCGGUGCCAGCCGCCGCGGUAAUACCGGCGGCUCGAGUGGUGGCCGAUAUUAUUGAGUCUAAAGGGUCCGUAGCCGGCUUUGCAAGUCCCCUGGGAAAUCCAGCGGCUUAACCGUUGGGCUUUCAUGGGAUACUACAUUGCUUGGGACUGGGAGAGGUAGGAGGUACUCGGGGGGUAGGGGUGAAAUCCUGUAAUCCCCCGGGGACCACCGGUGGCGAAGGCGUCCUACCAGAACAGGUCCGACGGUGAGGGACGAAAGCUAGGGGCACGAACCGGAUUAGAUACCCGGGUAGUCCUAGCCGUAAACGAUGCCCGCUAGGUGUCACGGCGGUCGUGAAUCGCCGUGGUGCCGUAGGGAAGCCGCGAAGCGGGCCACUUGGGAAGUACGGCCGCAAGGCUGAAACUUAAAGGAAUUGGCGGGGGAG
rnacentral:rRNA from 1 species